GGUUGUUUUUCUGCCAAAGACAUCCCCCAUUUCCUGGAACUGCUCUGCAAACGCAGAGCUAUGCUAUGACCUUGUUAAAGUCCAGAGUGUUGUGUUUUUUUCAUAAGGAGUCGGGUAAAUGAGGAGGCGUUCUCUUGCAUUUGGUUGCAUCAGAUCUUAUUUCUUCAUGCAGCAGUCAUGUAAGUAGGCAGUGUAGUUUGGGGAUGACCAGCUUGUGGCUGAGGGCCCACGUACUGUUGAACUAAACUGCCUCUGUGUCACAUCAUCUGCUUCAUCCAGCAUGGGGCUUAGCCUCAGACUCCCUCAGGAAGGGAAGGACGUGCAUCCUGCCUGUCCUGUGCAUACGGUGUUCCUCUCCAUGGACUCUUUCCAAGGUGUUGGUCUCCAGAAUGCUCCUGGCUCUGCUCUUCUUGGAAGCAAUGGUGAGACAUCUGUCAGUGUGAGCCCAUAGAGGGAAGCUGAGGUAGGUCACUUUGUAGUCAAUUCAGCUAACUUUUUCUCAAGUCUGAAUUAUCUCAAGGAAAAAUAUAGUUUUGGGUUUUCUGGAUGUGGUCCCAGCCCUAUUUCUGCAAAUGUGGCAUCUCUCAGUUAGGAGAGGGCAGUGCGAGAGUGGGGUGAGGCAGCAGGUCCCUUGCAAGCUGGUAUGCCACCAGAUCAUGCAGAUGGGUCAGGUUUUGUGCCAUGUUCAGGUUAAUGCUUUGCAAACACUAGGUCCAGACAAGAAGCAGUAGCUCCAAUAAUGUUUAAACGAGCUUAAAAUCUGGAGAUGAGAUCUGUAGGCCUUGUGCAAGGAGCAGGACAGUGGAGCACCCAGAAGUGGAUUUAAGACAUGUAGCUGCUUUGUUCUGGGCUUUGUUGAAACAGACUGCCCCGGGAGGUAGUGGAGUCACUGUCCCUGGUGGAGUUCAAGAGCAGUGGAGAUGCGACGCUGAGGGACGUGGUCAGUGGGCAUGGUGGGAUGGGCUGGGGUUGGAUUUGGGGAUCUUAGAGGUCUUUUCCAACUUUAAUGAUUCUGUGAUUCUAUGAUUAGAAGAAGGUGGAGCAGUCACAGGGCUCCCAUGGUUCAGAAUUUGUCUGAGAUCUCUCAGUGUCCCCAUGCUGAAGGGCAGUGCUUGUGCUGGGAUGGUUGGAGCUAACCUGAGAUCCUCCCCAGGUGCUGUGGUGUGGUGCAGGCUGCAUUGGCAGAGGAGGUGCAAUGGGCAAGCAACAAAGUGCAGGAUGGGCCCUGAAAUGCCCUGGGACAUUGGUUUGCCAAACUUCUGUGUCAGUGGUACUGUCAACAAUGUCCUGCCAAGAAGCAUCAGCAGGCAUGCAGCUGAGAUUUCCCUUCCCCCCCCCUCCUUUUCUUUCAUUCUAUUACUCCUGUUAAAUUCUCUUCACUGCACUCACUCUAAUGGUGCCUCAUUUGGUUUAUGUCCUUCAAACUCUUCCCUUUAAACACGUAGUCAUCACUUAGCUAAACUACUGUAUACAAAUAUAGCUCUUUUGAUCUUCCUACGUAAAUCAAUACCUCCUGCCCUUUAAUCUUCCUAGUGGCUUUCUCUGAACUCCCUGCAAUUUACUAUCCAUCUUUGAAAGUAAGUUGUCUUUUGGGCUUGAUUCUCUACAAUUUCAAACCUCCUGAAGUCCCAAUAGCUGCCCACAGCAGGUGCACACGGUGGUUCUCCACCACUCUGUUCAUGCUGAAGUAAUGCAAACACUUGCAUACAAGGCAUUUCAUGUCCCCCUGGGUUGGUGUGGCUCCCCAUGCCAGAAGUGAGUGGUCAUGCAGCACAAGCCCAUAUUUUCAAAGUAGUUCUCACAGGAUGCUAAAAGCCAUGGCGCAAGCCAUUGGGUGCCAUUUGGGGUUGAAGGAGAGUUGUAAUGGUUAGUUAUGGAGAGGACUUUCUGCAGUUAUUGGUGGCUGUAGAGAUGAAUCUCAUCUUCUCCAUAGCAGUAGAGCCUGUAGAUGCAAGCAAGCAAGCCCAAGAUAAAGAUUUGUCCCCUGAGAGUGGGCAAUGUAUGUGUCCCUUCCUUCACAGGACAGCUCACCUUACCUGGCUGCAGGUGGGACCUUUUGAUGGGGCUAGACCAUGGGCUCAGCAGGAAACCAGACCUGGAAGCCCAUCCAGGGUACAUGUCAUCUCUGUGCAGGGAAGGGUUGCCUUGUCAGCUGCUUUGCAGUGCCAGGAGCUCUGAGAAAUAACCUUGUGCCUUGCUUUGAUGCAAGUGUCAGACACAAGUCCAGCGCACUCUCUAACCCAUGUGUCCAGUCUGCUGGUUGUAUUAUGUUUAGUAAAUAAGGUUGUCACUGGAGUGGUCUCGAGGGCAAGAAUUAAGAAAUCUCAUAGGGAUUGAAGAGACAAUUGUACAGUUCUCCCCGUCCUUGCCUUGACAGUUACCUCCAGUUUUCCCCUGGGACCAUUCCACUCUUGAACUGGGAAUGCUGUGAUUCAUAGAAUCACAGAAUCACCAAGGUUGGAAAAGACCUCCGAAAUCAUCCAGUCCAACCACUCACCUACCCCCAGUAUUUCCCCACUAAACCAUGUCCCUCAGUACAACGUCUAGACGUUUCUUGAACACCUCCAGGGAUGGGUCUCAACCACCACCCUGGGCUGCCCAUUUAAAACCAUUGCAGUAAAUGUCUUUUAUUCCCCCUCAUCUUUCAAAGGGAGGGUUUAUAAUAGCAAUAACCCCUUCUUUUAGCAAUAACCCCUUCUUUUAGCUUUUCAUUAUGGGUCAAAUAAAAGCAUAUCAGAGCACGAGACAGAGAAUCUCACCACUCUCCUUGCCCCCAAAGGAUAAACAUAGUAGUGCUGCUACGGGCCCUAUAGCUUAAUUAGUUGCUAUUCUCUGCAGUUCCAAAAAAGGAUGAAAAAAAUCCUUUGCAAAGCCUAGGCAGGCUGUCUGUGUCAUAUUUCCUGUGUUCUUAGAGGUGUUAAUGAAUUCAUUAAUCACUUAAUGGCAAGGAGGGUCUUUGGGGACCAGCACUGCAAUUUACUGCUCCCAGGAGGCAGACUCUGUCACUGAUCUAAAGUUUCAGCUCCGCUAAUUUGUGCCAGCAGAGCCGCUGAGCUUCUGCCUGCAGCCCGCAAGCAUUGUGGCUACUGGGAGCAUCACAGCAGCACGCAAAGCAUCAGGGUAUGCUCACUUGGGAAGGUUUUGCAACGCGCAACGUUCUGGCUCUGAAAAGUUCAGAGCCCACAUGGAGGCAAGGAGGUGUUCCCCCAGCCUUGCAGUUGUGUUGCCUUAAUUCUUUUCAUUGGGAUAAGCUUGCUGCUAAGCCAGUCCUUGCAAUCAACUGGGGAAUGCAGCAGGAGCCUUGCUGACUUACAGGAAAUGCAAGCUAUGGAAGCGUGGCUGUAUAAUCUGGUCUGGGACUGCAGGCUAUGCAAUGAAAGGAGUCUGUGAAUCUCUUCUAAUUGAAGAAUACAUCAGGCUGAUGUAUUUUGACUGAAACUGUCAGUUAAAAUGUGAAUUUGAAUGUUUGCAUUUCUGCUCUGCAGAAAAUGUUGAUUAUUUCAGUCUCUCGCCCUUGUUGCAGGAGAGUCACUUGUGUCAAAGUUCCCUACAAAAUGUCUCUUUUGGCUUCUUUCUCAUCACACGGCAGUUCAAGGAGAGGGGGACGUGAGCAGAGCCCUCCUCUCCGCUAAUUCCAUUCCACCAGCCUGUCAUCACGUUGCAAUUGCCGCUUCUAAAAGGUUUUUCUGCCUUGCUUUUCUGUGGCUGAGCUCCCCUUUCUAACUUCUGUCCGUCUUUCUCCUCGGUCUGUUGCUUUCCCAGGCUGGGAGUCAAAGAGGGCAAAGUACGUCAGAUGUGAGUAGGAGGGAGGGCAGAGUCCAUGGGUCAUGGCUGUCUGUGUGUGUGCACGUGCUCACCUUCCACCGCUGGUACCCUCCUUGGAGUCAUUCCCACACUCAUGUUCUUUGCUCAACAGUUACUGUAGGGAGGAGAGAGCUGGAAGGCAGGACAGAAGCUACAUGUUGAAUCAAAGGAGAGAAGGCGGGAAUACAAAACCACUUCAUCGUGGAAAACACAAAGGGAGACAAUUUCAGUAAAUGCCAGAUGGUCAAAAUUAACCAGAGACGUGUAGAGCCCUACAUGUCCAACUGUUUGCUUUGGCAGAGAUUCUUCAGCUUUUCGAACAAGAGUCUCUGGGGCGCCCUUUUCUUCUCCUUGGCUUUCCUCCUCUCCUUCGCUCAUCCUUUGGACUCCUCACCCCACCCUUCUCCUCUGGCUGUUUUUCCUGCCUCUCCUCUCUCACUGCUGCCCAUGAGUCAUGUUGCACCUCAAAUGCCAGCUUGUGUUACGGUGAGGGGAGACCACUGCAAAUAAAUGUCCUCAUGCAACAACAGACUUGGAGGGCAUGCAAGGUGGUGGCUGCAGCUGUCAAGGACCACUGCCAUCACAGCCCUGUGGAAAUGCUGGAGCACUUCAACCCUGUGCUUGUUGUUGCUGUGGGUAUUAAUUUCUUCCUCUCCUCCCAAGGGCCUUGACUCAGCUUUGAUUUUUUUUUGUUUCAGCCAGGAAUCCAGAAGGAGUUCUUGCGGUUCAGUAAGCAGAGGAGCAUGCAUAAGUUGCUUACCCUGAUGGAGCAGUGGGAUGUAGUCUUGGUGGGGCAGGGGGAUGCAGCCUUGUUGGGGCAGUGGGACAUGUCCUUGUUGGGGCAGUGGGACAUGGCCUUGCUGGGGCAGUGGGACAUGGCCUUGCAGGGGCAGUGGGAUGUAGUCUUGCUGGGCAGUGGGCCAUGGCUGUGUUGGUGCAGAAGGAUGCUGUCUUGUUGGGGCAGAGGGACACGGCGUUCUUGAAUCCAAGCCAACUGCAUGGCAUGUUCCUCCAAACAAUGCAAUCAAGAGGGCCCUUGUAUGGCACAGACGGAGAGCUCCAGCUAACGACGGGCUCUUUUGUGUGCGCGUGUGCUCUCUGCAUUCGAAACAUUUAUUAUUCCAAAUUGCCUUCUGCACAUUUUACAAUAAUUACGACUAGUGUUUGCCUUGUUAUCUCCACAGUUACUAACAAGAAUGCCAUCAUUAUUCCAGUCAUUAGCAAAAUGGAUGUUGUUGUCCAGAGUUGCCGGCUGUGGGCCUGCUUUCAGAAGGAGUCUCAUGCUCUCCAACCUUGCCUACUCCAUCUUUCUUCCAGGGGAAUAUUGUUGUUCUCAGUAGGUUUGAACCUGAGCGGGCGGAGGGGAAGCAGAGAUUUCAUGAAGAAGAAUUGCUUUGAGGGAGUGCUGGUGGGUGUCAGGAUUCGCAGCAGUGAGCACUGGGAAUCUGUUAAUGGCAACAUUAGUAGGAACGAGAGUAAAGGCAGCCAUUUGCCCGUGUUCCUUGUGUAUUUGGUGUAUCUUAGGUCUGCUCCUGCUGCUAGGAUCCAGUACCUCUUCCUGUAAGAAUGUGUUGCUUGGAUGUGAAGAGAUGCUAUCGAUCUUACAAUGGAGGUUGCAGAUGAAGGAGAAAAGGUUGGAAUUAAGCCGACAGCACUCAGCUGCUGUAAGGUGAGUCCAGCAAUCUGCAAUUCCACUGCCUGCUCAAGAGAGCUCCUGGCACCUCUCCCAUUAGCAGUUGGAAGCCCUGGCAGAUAUUAUGGACCCGCCAGGUUUCCUUUCAUAAACUGAAAAUAGGCAAGCUGGGUGGGUUGUCUUUCAAUGACGGUACUGCUGUGGGCUGCCUCCCAAAAUCUAGCAACCCUGAAACGUUCAGAAAUUCUUUUAGGUUUUGCCCACUUCCAGAGGAGGGAAGAGGAAGGAGAUUUGUAAUCCAGAAGCCUUCCAGUUCAUGUUCCAACGAAAAUGGAGAACUUCAGAUUUCAAGUCUCGUGUAUCCUUUUCUUGAAAUCUACCAAAAAUAUGUACAGGUACCUGGUGACCACACGAAGCAGUUUGAUUUGGAAUAAUGUGUUUCAUACAAAGUCAGACUGUGGUUUGUUCUCAUUUUGGUAAAAAGGAAAAAAAAAGUAUUUUAUUAUACUUGGGGGAACCAGAGCUGUUGGUUAUCUAACUCACUAUGAGACUCCAGAGAAAGGAUCUGAUUUGCUUAGUGUGUAAAGACAAUAUGCACAAACACGGAGGCAAAUAGCAAGAAAGGUUUGUUUGUUUUCCCCCACAUGCUGAUGUUUGGAACUGUGACAUUCUUCCAUGGUUCGUCCUGAUGAGGCUUGGUUCCGUACUGCCAGGUUAACCAAGGAAUCACACUGGUUGUCCUUAGCUUAUAUAGCAAGCAAGGGAAAAAUAUAGGCAUUUUUUUUUCCUCCUUUCUAAAUACAAAUUAUUAAUUCAAAGAGAGUGGUAUAACUAUUCCCUGAUAUCUCACUUAAAUGCUAGCUAGCAGGCCUUUCUCGGUUCUACUUCUGAAAGAAAAACAAUUUUCAAUAGAAUUGUAUUUGUUGAAUGCUGAUUAAACUAAAUAGUAGAGUUUAUGUGGAAAAUAAGGUAGAAAAUUACAUGUGUGACUUACUGAUUUAAACUUUUGUGUAUCUUAGAAAAACAUCACCAGAUUAAACCGUGGCAGUGAUUAAAUAUAAUUCAUAAUACAGAUAAGAGGAUGAUGUUGCUUGUAAUGAAAGAAGAACUUUUCAUGUUUUACCAAACUUGGGUUACAAGAGAGCAAAUAAGACACACAUACAAGGAAAGACCCAAAUCUGCGACAGCACACGUCGUAUGUCUGUAUAUUCAAUUACCCCAACAUGUAAUAUGUAAAAGAUAGUAAGAUCUCCAAGUCUUGUGUCUAGUCAAAAGAAAAGGUGAACUCUGCUUCAGCUCAGCCCCUGAGACAAAAUUAGGGCAAUCUGGGUGAUCGGAUAGCCCAGAUUCAGAAAGGUGCCUAAUUCUUGGCCCGAAUCAUAGCACUCUUCUGGUUUGGGACAUCUAUAGAAGGCAAUCAGAUCCUCAGUACUUAUGGUUCCCAUCGAGAAAACCUGUUCUACUCCAUUCCUCCUCUCUGCCUUGCAGUGUGUGUUUCCUGUAGCAGCUUACUAAGCCUUGUAGCCUGGUUUCAUCAGCAUGCUGCUGAUAUGCAGCCCUACGCUGUCAGCUGAUACGACCCUGACCUCACAGGUACUGCGACCUUGUGCCUAGACAUCAGGCAUCUUUUGGUGGCUGAAACUCAGAUUAAGAUGGUGACAAUGGUGAGAGCUGGAGAAACUGCUUUACAUUUGCAGCUAUGAAUGAGGACAAACUGGAUUAGGGGUAAUGGCAUAGGAGGGAGGAUUGGUUGGAAUGGUGGCAGUGAAUGGAGGUUUGCUGCCUUUAACCUUUCCAGUUCCGUGCAUUUACUUUGCAUGUCUGUGAUCUCCCAUUGUGGUACAGGAUUUGCAGUGAGUCUGGGUGCUGGUGGAGAGCAGGCAUGGAGCUGUGCUGAACAUUUACUAUGGAAUAAUAAGGGAGGGCUAGUGGCCUUUCUUUCAUCUUAAUAUGAGUCAGCCAUUACCAAGGGACAUGGGCAGAGCUUCAGUGUUCUCCACUGGAAUUGCUUGGCCAUUGUAAAAGAGGGCAAAAGCUGGAGCUUCGGUAGGCUUGGAGCUUCUGCAAAUUGAGCUGCAAUGCUCUAGUGAUUCAUUUUGGUCUUCAGAAAGUGCUCGCUCAUCUUUGAGGCAAUAAGCCCAACUCCAGAAUCUGAUAAAUCUAUUUACAAACCCUUAAAUCUGAUAAUCUACCUUGGCUGAUAAUCCCAGGUGCCUGAAAGGAGACAAGACUACCAUCUGUCGGCAGCGUUUGUCCAUCUGUAGGGUAACCAGUGCUACAGAGCCUCCCCUGUUGUCCUGCAAAGCUUUGCUCUGGUAUGUGUGUGUGGCCUGGGAACAUCUGAACGUAUCCUUUGAGGGGCAUUGGACUUAGUGACUUCAGCAUCCUGUACCAACCCAGUGCCUUACUACUCCCAUUAUAGCACUGGUAUAGCAUCACAGGGAGCAGAGACCCAGCUCCUGUCACGCUGGACUUUCCAUCCACCUCUGUAAGAGCUGUUCCUAAGAAAUUAUCCUUAAUUAAACAAGAUAAAGAGAAGAGAAGCAGAAUCCCUCUAAAGAGAAGCAGAGGGAUUAAAACUAGGGCUGAGGAGCUGUUUAUGCGGAGUCUCUCCAUGGGGGAUGUUCUUCAGUUUGUCUCAGCAUUCCAAGAGUCCUUUAAGUGAGAGGCUGUGGUUUACGGAGUCAACAGAUUUAAGCAGGCUACGAAUAUUAAUUAUUAAUUGCUCUUGGAGAGUGCUAUACAUUAGAUUGGUGAAGUAGUUAACAGCUAUGCCUUCUCCUCCCCACAGGCGCGCUCUUGCUGUCAGAUUUCUCUCCCCAGCUAAGACCCUGGUGCUAGAAUUAGGCCAGAAACUAUUUUCCAGUCGAGUGGCUUUUAAUGGGCUCUCCAGGAUUCUUCUUUGCAUCCUGUGAGCAAUGAGAUGUGUGGAGAGGAGAGAUGGUGGGAUUGAUUCAUACCGUAGGAAGUAAGAGAGAUUUAACUAAGUGGGGCUCAGUGCUGCUAGAGCUGCAGGAAGCCCUGUGGCAGUUGUAUCUUGCACUCCAGAAGCACCUGUUAAUUAUCCACUGCACUGGGCAGUGCUCUGGAGGAGCCCACCUGCAGGAGCCCACAGGGAAAUGGUAUUUCUGCUGAAAGGCAAGGCUGUGAUCUUUUGGGAUCUUCUCCAUCAGGAGUCCUAGGCAGCCUGAUCUAGUGUUUGACAGCCCUGCCCAUGGAGGGUGGGUUGAAACUAGAUGGCCCUUAAGGUUCCUUCCAACCCAAACCAUUGUGUGAUUCUGUGACCUUGGAUGGUGUACUGUUGGGCUCUCGUGGGCUCACACAGCUGGGGAUUCCUUAACCUCCUCAGCACUGGCAGCAUGUGUGAAGUGUAAUGAGCGUGAUGGUUUGGAGAUGGUUGUGUGUUUCAUAGAAUCCUUAGAGUUGGAAGGGACCUCUGAAGGCCGUCUAGUCCAUCUAGUUUCAUCUCCCUGCAGAUGUUGAGGAGGUGUCAUGGUGUGUCCCUUACUGCUUUUAAAGACAGUUCUCCCUUCCUUCCUGCAUCUCUUCUCCAGCCGGACAUUGCAGAAUGGUGGCUUGCAUGAAGCCAGAGGCCAGGCUCUACGGUCUGGAGCCUCACAGGGAGUCCUCCAAGUGAAGGAUGAGCCCUGAGCUGCAAGAGAGAUCUACUCCCACUAAACCAACCUCCCGAGGGGACUUACUUCGUUUGACUGGCUCCGUCAUCCUCAGGAGGAAACUUUCCUCUGCAAGAUGGUGAAAUAGUGCCCAUGUGGAAACGUUCUGACUGCAUGCGCCUGGAGUCCGGCAUUGUUGCAGAGGAGGAGAGCGGCAUAGGAUGGCUCCAAAGAAAAGAGGUCUGCAUCAGAAGGAAAACCUCCUGCCAUGCCAGCUUGCCCAGACCUAAUGGUGAGACGGCCUUUCCCAGCUACACUAAGGGCUGCUUCUUGUGGACUGGAAGUAUUGCCAAAGAGUGAGUGAUCCUUAUUAAUAUGCAUCUCCAAAAACAACAGGCAGUCUUGCACAGAUCCUCUCACACGUAUCUUUGGAUUUUGAGACAGUGGAGAGCUCUUUAUUCCCUCUCACACCAAUGUCAGCCAUAGCGCAAGAUGUCUUGAGCUGAUUAAAAAUCUCUUUAAUCAAAUGCUGGCAGGGGAAGUGUUCAGAACGUUAGAAGGAUGACUUUGACAAGCUGCCCCUGCACUGUGAGUGACUUCAUCCAGAGGUUGGCCCGGCAGGCUGGCGUGUGAUACAAAGCCUCCACUCACCUUGAUUUCCAAAGCUGCCAACAAACUGCAGUGACGAUGCUGAGAAGCCAGUAGGGCACUGUAGCCUGUGCUCAGUUCUUCUCCGUUAGAUACUGACCCCCCCCCCAAAAAAAACCUUUGCUACAGGCAAAAUCCAUCACUCGAUUCAUCAACCCCUACCUACGCUUCAAAUUCCUAUAUCCCAAAUCCAUGGGAACGAUUUUGAACAUGAAUGUAGGCUGGAAAUCAUUGCUGUGCAGAUUGUCUGGAGGCUUUUUUUUCCCCCCUGUUCUAUGGCUGAACUGGACUUCAAAAGAAUAAAUAAAAUCCAUUCUGGUAGCACCCCCUCUUCCCCCUCCAACCCCCCAGGAGGAGUGUACUUCUAUGGAGAAAGGACAUAAAGAAACCUCCUGAUAUUUUAUUCAACCAGAAUUAAGUGUUUUGAUUUUGGGGAAUUCAGCUAAUUUUCUUACUCCUCAAAAUAGGUCAGCUUUGAAAUAGAAGAUGUCACGCUGAAAGAAAAAAAAGGGGAAUAGAUUUGUUUAGUGAAUGUAAGAUUAUACAUACAUACUUCUGGAAUUUUAACAAGCUUAUGAAUGGAAAGAAAGCAUCCAGGUUGUUUCUCAGUCAGUUAGACUUGGAUUUAGGACCGGUUUUCACUCUCCAUAAACUGCAUUUCUUUUUCACUUAGAAGAUCCCCUCCCACCACAAAAGCCCCUUCCCCUUUUGCCAUUGCUGGAAAUAAAUAGCCAUAAUAUAGCUGGAAUUAAUACAGCUACACUGAGUCAACUAAGUGCUGAAUUUUUCUUUCCCAAUGCUCUCCGGGCACCCAGACGUGCUCAAUAGGAAGUGUUGGCACUUGGGGCUACGUAUAGAAAACCAGGGUGUGUGCUGCUGGGGCUGUUAGGGAGGAAAUCUUGUGCCAGCAGCCCUCUGCUGUGGGCCUUCUCCAAGCUUUGUCUCUAUUCCCUCAUUCCUCUGCAGAUGUCCUAAGCCACAUUUUGCUUUCAUUAUGACAAAAAUUGUGCAAGAUACUCAUCUUCUUUUAUUUAUAUAUAUAUAUAUUUUGUAGCAUUUCUGUGUUCCUACACCUUUUCUCUUUGCGGCAUCACUUAUGGACAUGUAAGUAGUAGGUUAGUUUCUAUUCUCACUCUGGGGGGUUGGGUUCCAAACUGUUUAUUGAGUAAUAAAAAGAGAAAAUGGCGAGUCAUUGCCCAGGGAUAAUGUGCUAAUAAUUUUAUGACUGGACAAAUGGUUGCAACAGCCCACAAAUGGCUGUAGGCAGGAAACCUGGUGUCUAUUGCUGACAGAGCCACCCCCAAGGAGAUAAAACCUCACUUUUGGUGAUCAAAGUUGAUGCAACAACUGUGAUCUAUUAAAAAUUACUUUGGAGAUGGGUAAGGCAAUCAUUAUUCCUCUUGGAGGAGAAGUGGCAGACAUAGACUUUUUGGGAAGUGUUUAGAAGUGAGCCCUACAUGGGAUGAAUGCAGCAGACCACCGUGGCUGCUUGCGCUCGGAGCCACGCGGCACGCAGCUGCAGGGCUGCAGGCUGGGGAUGCUUGGAGAAACAAAGAUUAAAGGGGGGUUAGUGCUAUCAGGCAAACACGAAUCAUCCCAGAGAUAACAAAGGGUUGAAGUUUAUUUAGCCACUAACCGUAUGGCACUCAAGUGCGUUAGCCUGGCUUGACUGCUGCAGAGCAUGGAGCCGGAAUGGCUGCUGCAGGGCGUACACCAGGAUACACCCUGUCCCACUCUGGGCUGAUGUCCCCUGUCUGAUUACUCAAGGAGGAUGUCCCCCUCCUGGCGAUGGGGCAGUUGUCCCAUCGGCACCAAUUUCUUCCCACUGUUGUGGAGUUUGGUGGGGAAGGAUGAGCAGGGCCCUUGUGAGGUCUCUCUCUGCCCAUCUCCCAGCAGGCAGGAGGAGCUGUACCUCUUCCAAACCCGCAGCAGAUCCAUCCCUCGAAGUGGGCAAGAAGCCAUGUGAUGGGGCGUAGCUGCUCGCAGCUGCCAAGACCUCACAUUUGUAUGUUAGUGAUGCAGAUAGGAUCUCAUAAACCCGUCUCCAUACUGCUUUACUGCUGAUUUAACGAUCAGAGGAAGAACUUGACUGUUUAUUAAAACAUUAGACAGUAAAGUUUAACAAUAGACAGUAAAGGGUUUUGUUUUUCCAUCCCUCUGAUUGUUAAAGCAACAACACAUAGGCCUGGAGAGGGGCCUGCUGCUAACCUCAGGAUGAUGGGAUGGGGCCAUGAAGCUCCUCCAGAAGGCAGGAUAGAGCAGCUGGCAUUCUGGCAAAUCCCAUAUCUGAAGAAGGAAAUCUGAUGUAGGGUAUGGGUGCGUGCCCCAUCACCGGAGGUGCUGAGGGCUGGGCUGGAUGGGGCCCUGGGCAGCCUGAGGUGGUGGGGGGCAGCCAGCCCAUGGCAGGGGUAGGACUGGGUGGGCUGUAAGGUCCCUUCCAACCCAACCAUUCUGUGAUUCUAUGAGUCUGACUGCGAGAAGGGGCAAUCCAAUUGCUCUGUGGGCAAGGGUCUCGUGGUAGGGCUCCUGUUGUUCAGCAGACCCACAAACACCGGCAAAGGGAGCAGAUGGAAACAAAACUCGCAAGGCAACAGCAUUAUUCAGGACAGUGCCAACGAAAGCUGACUGCGAAGAAACGCCGAAGGAUUGCAGCGUGCAGGUGAUGAAAUGGCAGAGGAAAUUCAUUGUUGGUAACUGCAGAUAGAGAAAAAUCAGCAGUGGCUGUACCCAUACAGCAGCACCAUCUCAAUGAGCUAUUGCCUCUCUGGAAGGAGGCUGUGGAGGCAAGGCAGGCUGUUUCUGGAAACGUCAGCAGUGAUCACAAAGGCAGUGGCCAUUCUAGGGGUUACGGAGGAAGAAAUGGAGAGUAAAACAGGCUGCCAUUGUGCUGCUGGGUGCAUCCACAGUGCAUCCCCAUCCGAGGUGCUGCCCCUGCUUCUGGUGGCCGUGUCUUGGGGCCAAGGGAAGAUGGAAGAGGAGUUACAGGGACUUCAUAGCAGGACCUCGAGAACUUGAGCUGAAGUGGACAGAUCUGGAGGAGAAGAUGAGAGGAAGAAAGCCCUGGGUGGCUUGGAGGAGUUGGACGUGGAGCUGGACAAGCAUCUGCUCUGUGUCUGUGCUGAUGCUAUUUAGAAACCCCAGCCUUGGCUCUGCUUGACAUUUGGUAAUGCUGAACUGGGACAGCACCCAAAAAACCCCAUCCGUGUUGGACCGUCAGUAAGAGGUGGCACAUCUGACCAAAACCACGUCGCCAUUUGCUUCCUUGACAGCACAUCCUACCUCAUCCCCUGUCCUUGUCCUGCUGACCCCCGUUCCCAGCCUCCCUUGCUCAAUUUCAGCAGCAUCCUGGGAGGCCCCUUCAGCUGCAAGCCCCUCGCUUGGGAAAGAAAGUGGGGUUGGAGGGGGGGGAUCAGAGCCCAGCUGUGGGCUGGGGCAGCAGGCGAGUGCUUUCCAAACGCUGACUGCUGUUGGUGUAUUUCUGCUGGUGAGGAUGCAGCUGGCAGCGUUUGUGUGCAUGCGUUUAUACACACACACACACACACACAGACUCACCUCCACACGAGUACACGACUAAAAUACAUAUAUUUCCUCACCCCGCAUCUUUCUGCAAGCUGCAAAAAUACAAAAGAAUAAAAUUAAGUCUCUUAUCGCUGCUAAGUCAUCAGAAACUAAUAUUGCAUCUACCGGGCAGUUUUCCCCCUCCCCCCCCCAAACCAUCUCCACUUCGCAAUCCUAAUUCAAUGAUUCUUUCUGUAGCUCUUUACAUUCUAUUAUUUAUAAGAAACAAUAUUCAGCCCUCCCCUGACAGUGUUUGCAGGGCUGCGGGAAGCAGUGCGGCAGAAAGGUGGUAGAACAAUUUUGGUUAUGUUUCCAUAGCUACCUAGCUGCUAAAUGUGGUUUAUUCCAUUUUAAAGUCAACCAACACACACCCGCACGCACACGCACAAACCACCAGAUGAAGUGUAUUCAAACUAAUCCCUGGGCUGCCUAUUACAGCCUAAUAUCCCUGCCAUUUGUAUAUUUAAAGGGAUAGUUGCUGCAGAAAUAAAUGGCAGGGCAGCGCUCUCGCUGGCUAGAGCAGGAUGAUCAACAUAUUGUUUCUUUCUUGCUCUCCUCUCCGACGUGUGUGUUCCACUCCAUCCCUGUAAUAUUAUUAUGGAGAUUUUUACCGAGGGCUGAGAGCUGAGGAAGUCGGAGGUAGGAUGGUGUCCUCUCGUGGCAGUCAGCAUCUCUGCAGCCUGAUGGUAGCCGUGCCAAGAGAGAGCCGAGCCUGGGCUCUCCUGGGCAUGCACUGCUGUCUUAGGGACAAAACUCUUGGAGCAGAGCUUCCCACCUCCCCUAGUGCACCCAAAGACGAGGAGCCUCCUGCUUCUGCUCCACGCCAGGCUGGAGGCUGCUGCUUGCUCUUGCUUUCCCUGCGUGAAAGAAGAACCCUUGGGAAAGGAGUGGUGGGUACCAGCUUUGCAGAGCGGAGGAAGUUUGUCCCAUGGAAGUGAGCAUCUCUGAGCUGCCGUGGGUUGGUGGAGAACAUCUCAGAGCUUGUAAUCAGUGCCUCAUAAAUCACCGCUGACUGCCGGGAUCGCUUUGGCCGCUCUUCCCCAUCGUCCUGUCUGCAGGAAUGGGCUGCAUGUUUCCACGUGGAUCGGGUCUGAAUUGGCUGUCUGAACCCAGAGAUUAAAGAAACAGCAGCCUCUCUCUCUCCUGUAACUGACUGACUAAUUAAUGUGCACCUUGCUAGGCCCGAGAAUCCAUGAGCAUCCUCAGAAGUCUGAAGAGAAUGGGCAUCCUGUCUAUAUCCAAGGCAGGUAAUCACUGUAAAGGGUGGCUGGAAGGGCAAAAGCUGCAUUUCCCCACGCUGGGGGCUGCGGAGGAGGCAGAGGCAGAUACCUGGGGCUCCCUGGCAGCGCUUGCUGAAGAUCAGCCUUGAUCAGAACAGGUCUUCUCACAGGAAACAUCAACUUUUUGUCAAAAAAGCCUGAAGAUAAAUAUUCUUGGAUGAAAACCUAUAAAAAGCUCAGACUGACAAACUAUUUUUUUUAGGCACUUCUUUUUCUCCCAACAAGAAUAUAUCUGUCAAGAGAAACAGAUGUUCUCUAUGAAGAAUCUUCUUUAAUUACAAGUCUGUCAAAAAGAGAAAUCUUCAAGUGUCUCAAGCCUCAAAUCUGCGAAUGGCUUCAGCCCUGGGCAAGAAAUCACCCCUUUCCUGAGCAGCCCCAGUGCCCUUUCUCAGCUCUUGUCAUGUCAUCCCUGCAGCUGCACCAAUAAACUGGGCAUUUUUGGAGUUUAGUUUUCAGAUGAGCCCGCUUCAAAUCAAUGGAGCUGCUGCUUUUCGUGACUCCUGGGAAUAAGAUGGCGUGGAAACAACCCACGGCCAUGCCCAAAUAAGAAAACUAAAAGAAUUAUUGGUUUUGGUCAACCUGGAACAUGGCUCUUUUUGCCCUGACAUUUUCCUAGAGGAAAGUGAAACUCUUCAUCUACAGAUUCAAAAAGUCCCAAAGGCACUCUGUCAGACAUCUCCCAACGUGCUCUCUCAGUUAUUGCUGGAUGGAUCAGAAGUUCUCCAGGGAGCAGUGAAGAUGUUUUUGCGGGCUACAAAACCUCAAAGGCUGAAAAUACUCAAUUCCAGUGUCUGCUUCUUGCUUCCAGAGGAGAUAUCUGCUCUUUGUCUUCAUCUUCAUCGUCAUCAUCUUUGUCUUUGUCUUCAUCUUUGUCUUUGCUUUGUCUUUGUCCUCCUUCUCCUUCUUUCUCUCUCUCCUCUUCCUCUUCCUUUUCCUCCUUCCUCCAGCUCCUAAAUCCCCACCUUCCCUUGACCCCCCCUCCUUUCCUUCUCCCCAUCAUGCAUUGCAUGCUGAAUGCAGGAGGCUCUCAAAGGCAAGAGUCGGCCUGGGACACUCUUACCCACAAUAGCAGUGGUGAACAGAACCCAGGUUUUCAGCCAGGAAAUUUCACUGGUAAUCUCCUGCGAGGGAGGCGCUCCCAUUUUUCAUGAUGGUUGGCCCUUGCGGGAUAUGGAUGAAAAGAGAAAGCAUUUCAUUUGCUCUUUGAAAACUGGAGCUAUAGAUCAAGGCCCUGCUCAGUCCCCUGAAGACUAGAAAUGGGAUUUUUGCAAGAAUUGAGGCUAUCCUCUCUGAAAACUAAAACAGUUAUCUACACUUUCAUCGAGAGGUCAGCAGUAGAGAUUUUUCUCCAACAGCUGGAUAAAUCCAGGCUGUUAGUGCCUCUCCUUCCCACUGUUCUCUGUUAUUGCUUUUCAUUACGUGAAGGGUGAGGAACAAGCAAAUACCUCUGCUUUCUAGCUUUGCCCUUGCCCGUUUGUACAAAGCAGCCAAACAUUUCCUUCUGACACUCAGGACCCAAGCACCUUUGGUGUCUGAUGUUUCUCCUUGGAUGCCAUGGUCUGGAUGCAGUUGCUCAGGGCUGCUUAAUCCUACCAGAUGGCAUAGAAAUGUUAUUUUUUGGACACAGGCACUCUUCUUGCCGGAUAUGGGUGCCACGGGACCAGGGCAUCCUUUGUCGCCUGGACCCAGUGUGAUCUCCUGUAACACUGGGCAGGAGGGUUUGCAGAAUCACGCUGCAUCCUGCGUCCCUGAGCCUUGCAGCCAUAAAUCCUUUGCCUCUGCCACAACUGUGAUUGAGCCUGCCUGGCUUAAUUUAUUUCUCCAGAGCCCACACAGUUAUGGUAGAGAUGAUUGCCUGCUCAAGGAGCAGCACUUGGGAUGAAAUCUUUUCCUCUUGAGAGUGCUGCUGGAAAAACAAGGCAGUGUCCGUGAGCUGCCAGCAAUCCCCAUGUAGGCAUUGUCUUUGCUUGGCCACUUCUUUGCGGUGCUCUCAUCCUUCCUGACCUCUCCCCUUCUCUCCCUUCCUUUAAGUCCUUUUCUCUCUGUUUCAUUUCUACCUAUGUCUCUUCCUCUUCAGGUUCCUCGCUAGGCACUGGAGCUGAUUGCAGUGGUGAUCCAGCAAAUCACAGUAGUGAUGCUGCUGAUGGAAUAACUCCUUGGGGUUCCACACGGUUGCUGUGCGGGCACUGAGUUUCAAACUGCAGAAAAGGAGCAGGAAAGCCUGAUAUUUGGGUGCAUCAACUGGAGCUUUCAUCCCCACCCCAGGGAGAUGGGUUUUGGAGCCCUAGCAGCCUGCCCACCCUAUGGACAUGGCCAGAUACCCCCAGUUCCUUCCCAAGCACUGCUACCCAGAGAGGUGCUCUGUCCUGGCUAUGGGAGUUGAGCACGAAUAACUCACAAAUAAUGGAAAUCCCCACCAUGUGCCCCCAGCAUUGGCACGGCUCAGGGCCCUGCAAGAAGCGCGCUGCCUUGUUUGUCACCUGAAGCACUUGGAAAAAUUACACAAAUCCAUCAAUGUAAUGAAUCUUCUCAGCAGUGGCAAAUAGACAGAGACAGACAGGCACUCAGCUGAAACAAGUCAUCUUUAAAAAUUAAUACAAAAUAAACAGCUGGCCUUUCGCUCCGCUUCCAGGUGGUGGCUGCGUGGUUUGGGCGAGGGCUGGGCAGGGACCAAUGAUGGUUCCCAAUGGGAUCACGUCCCUGGGGCAGGGAAGUGUCCUCUGCCGUGUCCCUGUCACUGUCACAGUGUCACCUCCAUCUGCUGCUGCUCCAGGAAUGGUGGUGCAGCGCGGCAGUCAGUGUUGCACUGCAUGAGUGACUGCUUAAGAAACAGCCAAAUCUUUGGGAAUGCCAAAGCCUCAUCACCUCCCUACAGCCUUGCCAGGCUUCUGCCAGCCCUCUGGGCUCUCACAUCAGUUUGUCAGUGUCUGAUGGAGCUUGUACACUCCUCAGAGGACAGGCUGAGCUUGCUCUCCUGCUUGUCACGAUGUGGGCUCCAUAAAUAAUUAACAGCGGUGCUGCUUCUGCCCUCGAGCUUUCAUUUCAUUACCCAGGAAUAACAUACCCACCUAUAUACGUGUGUAUGUACAUGUCUGCGUGUAAUACGCAUCCAUAUGUACUUACAUUGCUUAAACAUCUGUUUCACCGGCCAGCCUCUCUGCUUUUCCUUCGGCCAUUGCUCUGUCUCCCUGCUGGUCCCAAGGGCAGGCAAGCAGCAGAAGGCGCUGCUCUCGACCGUGAGCAUCCCACCAGUGCUCCAGCUGCUCCUGCUCUGAGGCCAGGCUAUUUAUGAGGUACCAUGGGGCUGCCCUUGCCCUGCAGAGUGUGGGGAUGGAGAGCGGGGAGGAAGACGGAUGGAUCCUGAAUUGAGGUGAAUUUAUGGGGCUUUGCGAUUCCUGCUGCUGUAUGUCUCCGAGAAAUGACACCGCCACUUCAGGAGCAGAGAUUAAUCUGAGCCGGCAGGAGAAGGACAAAACAAAUCAUCUACUGCAGGAAUCUCAUUUGAUGCCUGUUAGUAAAAGCACUGCGAUGAAUGGCUUUUGUAAAGACCACGUAGUACAGGCUUUUUUUUUUUCCUCCCUUUUCUCCAUUCGUCUGCAAAUUGAGGUCUGUGAGGUGUGUGGUGGAGGCACCCCAGGGUCACUCAUGGCCAGGCACAGGACAAGGACUCCCAGCAGCUUUGUGCACUGUGAGACAGGAGAGCAAAAAAGGGAAGGCAGAGCUCCCAGCGCAUCGUACCCAAGGAAGGAAUCCUUCGCUUUUGUUUUUAAAAGGGCAUUGAUUCUCACGUCCUGCAGAACACGGGGUCGGGGCAGCCUGCAGCCCCAGACAGAACAUCCCAGUGCUGCUCUGCAUCCCAGCCAGCAGCAGCUGGAUGCGGCCCAGUGGGAGCAGUACCAGCACCGAGCACUCCUCCCGCACGCCGCUGUGCAUCCCAGCUCAAUACAGAAUCAAUUGGAUUGAUCUUUUUUUAAGGUGCAGCCUCCGAACGGCUGAGACUGUGAGAGACGUGGCUAAGCACGCACUUCCACAAAAUAAUUUGUCAGGCCCCGCUGUAGAAACCUAAUGAUGGCUGUAAUUUAUUGCUGACAGACGAUAUUUAUCACCGCAGCAUCCCCUCUUUCUCUUCCUCUGUCUCGUUAGGAAUGGCAUCAAUAAUGUUUAUUGUAGCUUUUAAUUUUUUAUCGCUGGUAUUCUUACCUGUGCUGCUGAGGGCUGCAGGAGAUGGGAAAGGCGUCAGAGCAGAUGGAGGCUCAGCUCUGUGCUGAAGGGUGAGCGAUGAAGGCUGGAAGUUCCUCCUGCGUGCCCAUGCAGGGAGCGUGCAGUGCCAGAGAGCACCCCGGUAGCAGGGAAAAGUGAGCUGUUCCCAUAAAGCUUACUCCCUCUCUUCUGAGCCUUUGGACCUGUGCAAGGGAUGCUCAGACCCAGCAAAGCGGUGGCAUUGCUUUGGUUUUCCCCAGAUGCUGCUCCCACGUGGGGCUGGAGAAGGAACAUCACCCCUCCGCUGCUGCACCUGCAUUGCUGCGAUCAUCUCACACCUGAUGAUGCCCACAAGCCCUGUGGUCACAGUUCUUGUCCCUGAAAGCAACCAAAACCCCAACUCCAAUCCUGAAAUCUCCUUUUUUUCCCCUCGUUUUCCUACAGUUUUUCCUACCCUUGAGGAAAUGUGCUGCACCAGGUUUUGAUGCCCUAUAAACCAGCACUUCCCAGAGGGGAUUUCUUCCCCCUUUCCAGACGUGAAUAAUUACCCAGGCAGAGGCUGUUCCAGCCUCGUUACAGGAGCCUCUCAGACUAGCCGGUCAUUUACAGAUUAGAUAGAUGUUGCCCACGUUGUUCAUAACUGAUUAUGGGAUUGGCAGUUUGGCUCUCACCCAAAAUUCAGAGUCCUGAUUUAGCAUAAUUGGAAGUGAAUGGCGGAGCAGGCUGGGGGAUGGGGAUGGUGCCUGCUGCUGAUUUCCUAAUGCCGGCUUUGGGGAUCCCUGACAAGCUGCGGAGUGCUCUUUAUAGGGCAAUAACGUUUACGGUGUGGGUUGUCUGGGGGAGGAACUCCUGUGAUGGCAGCAGCCACCUCCUGCACGUCCCAGAUCGAAGCUGGAGAAAUCAAGAAUACCAGAAGAGCAACGAGGAUGAUAUUAAAAAGUAAUCCCUUCUGUGUCAAGGUGUGGGCUUUUUUGCUUAUAGAAAUUGUUCUUCUGCAUUAAUCUAUUCUACUUUGUGCUAUCCUGUCCUUUUACUGACUUCUGUUCCUCCCUUAGUUUAUCCCACUAAAUGUUGGCGUUCCCACUGUUGACCCUUCAUGCACCCAUAGCCUUCCUUGCACUUAUUCUCACAGCCCCUCUCUGCUGGAGGCUCCAAGAGCACAGUGCAAUCCAUUGUGCAAUCCACAAUGCAAUCCAGUUUGUCC
ensembl:lncRNA